AGAGUUUGAUCCUGGCUCAGGACGAACGCUGGCGGCGUGCCUAACACAUGCAAGUCGAGCGGUCUAUGCAGCAAUGUAUGGAUAGCGGCGGACGGGUGAGUAACGCGUGGGCAACCUGCCUCAUACAGGGGGAUAACACAGGGAAACUUGUGCUAAUACCGCAUAACAUCACGGGAGGACAUCCUUUUGUGAUCAAAGGA
rnacentral:rRNA from 1 species